AGUGAACGCUGGCGGUAGGCCUAACACGUGCAAGUCGAACGGCAGCACAGUAAGAGCUUGCUCCUACGGGUGGCGAGUGGCGGACGGGUGAGGAAUACAUCGGAAUCUACUUUUUCGUGGGGGAUAACGUAGGGAAACUUACGCUAAUACCGCAUACGACCUACGGGUGAAAGCAGGGGAUCUUCGGACCUUGCGCGAUUGAAUGAGCCGAUGUCGGAUUAGCUAGUUGGCGGGGUAAAGGCCCACCAAGGCGACGAUCCGUAGCUGGUCUGAGAGGAUGAUCAGCCACACUGGAACUGAGACACGGUCCAGACUCCUACGGGAGGCAGCAGUGGGGAAUAUUGGACAAUGGGCGCAAGCCUGAUCCAGCCAUACCGCGUGGGUGAAGAAGGCCUUCGGGUUGUAAAGCCCUUUUGUUGGGAAAGAAAAGCAGCAGGUUAAUACCCCGCUGUUCUGACGGUACCCAAAGAAUAAGCACCGGCUAACUUCGUG
rnacentral:rRNA from 1 species